rnacentral:rRNA from 1 species
AGGACGAACGCUGGCGGCGUGCCUCAUACAUGCAAGUGGAGCGACGAACCAGGAUUUAUCCUGGGGCAAAGCCGCGAACGGGUGAGUAACACGUGAGCAAUCUGCCCUUAGCUUCGGGAUAGCUCCGGGAAACCGGAAUUAAUACCGAAUAUGACCUCGGCUGACAUCGGCUGCGGUGGAAAGUUUUUCGGCUAGGGAUGAGCUCGCGGCCUAUCAGCUUGUUGGUGGGGUAAUGGCCUACCAAGGCGACGACGGGUA